CUCAGUUCUGGGCCAAGGCCAAGGCAUUUAACAUUUUUUUUUUAAAGUUGCAUGGAAGAUUAUAAGUAGCAGUGAUUGUCACACACACACUAGGUGUGGUGAAAUUAUUCUCUGCAUUUGACCCAUCACCCUUGAUCACUAUGCUAGUAAACAUUUUCUUAAUUUUAAACAAGACAGACUAGAGUUCUUCAAAUUGUUUAUACUUUUUUUCAAAUACAAAUAUUUCAAGCUGAUAAGCACUGUGGACUUGGCAUGUUACUGAUAUUGUUACAUUACUACUUUGUUUGAGAAGCUUCAUGUCUGCAUUGAGCCUAAAUUUAACAGUUUUUGAAGGGUUUAGUUCUUUGUUUUAUUUCUGUGUCACUGACUUUUUUCAUUUUUAUGUGUGGAUUUGUUAGGCGCAUCAACACAUGAUAUAGACAUCGUGCCCAAAAGAAGAGCGAGACGUAAUCCUGAGGCUGAAGCUACCGAGUUUAUUUGAUCUGGAUGUGACAAGUCUUGUUUUAAGGCCCAGUGGAUCAAUGAUUGGAAAGACACCAACUGUUGAUGUUCUAUCUCAACAUUCUCCAGAUUCAUGUGAGCGAUAAACCGACUUCAUCCCUCCAACAGACACCAACUGUUGGGGUUCUAUCUCAACAUUCUCCAGAUUCAGAUGUGAGCGAUAAACCGACUUCAUCCCUCCAACAGAAACCAACUGUUGAGGUUCCAUCUCAACAUUCUCCGGAUUCAGAUGUGAGCCAUUAACUGACUUCAUCCCUCCAACAGAAACCAACUGUUUGAGGUUCUAUCUCAACAUUCUCUAGAUUCAGAUGACAGCCAUAAACCGACUUCAUCCCUCCAACAGAUUGACAGCAGGACAAAUCGCUGGAAGUAGGUAUGUCUCAAGCUUCUUCCACUUGGUCCACUCCAAAGCGGGCUGCAAAGGGGAAGAAGUGGAAGCAGUUGAAUGACACAUGUUGCAUUUUGUAACUGGCAACAAAGUACCAGGUAAAAAAGAUUGUGACGCCUGCCUCCAUAAAGAACUAGUAGCUCUACAGGACAGAGAUUGGCUUGCCAUCAAGUACUACAUCCAUAACAGAAUUAUAUUAAAAAAAGGGAAAAAAAAUGUUUUCCCACAUCUUCUGUGGUAGUUUGAGUAUGUUACCAGCAUUUAAAAAAGCAAAAUAAACAGCAAGCGUUUUGUAUUUAUUCCAGAUAAUUCUUAGCGACAAAAUCCACAAAAACAAUUCAGUUACACUUAGUUGACAAUUACAUUUUUACCCAUGUUUCUUUUAAACUCUUCUUGGUUUUAGAUUACAAUAGCAUGGGAUUGGGAUUUUUUUUUUAAAUGACAACACAUCAACUAAACCAACUCAGGUGGUUUUGUUAAGUCUCUGAUGUCAUUAGCCUCAUAAGUCACAUGAACCUGAAAUCUUAAACACUCUGUGACGUCAUGGUCAUCAUAUGUCACAUAAACUUGAAAUCUUAAACACUCUGUGACGUCAUGGUCAUCAUAUGU